rnacentral:rRNA from 1 species
CCCCAGACUCCUACGGGAGGCAGCAGUGGGGAAUAUUGCACAAUGGGGGGAACCCUGAUGCAGCGACGCCGCGUGGGCGAGGAAGUAUUUCGGUAUGUAAAGCUCUAUCAGCAGGGGAGAAAAUGACGGUACCUGAUUAAGAAGCCCCGGCUAACUACGUGUCAGCAGCCGCGGUAAUACGUAGGGGGCAAGCGUUAUCCGGAUUUACUGGGUGUAAAGGGAGCGUAGACGGCAGCACAAGUCUGGAGUGAAAUGCCGGGGCUUAACCCCGGAACUGCUUUGGAAACUGUGCAGCUAGAGUGCAGGAGAGGUAAGUGGAAUUCCUAGUGUAGCGGGGAAAUGCGUAGAUAUUAGGAGGAACACCAGUGGCGAAGGCGGCUUACUGGACUGUAACUGACGUUGAGGCUCGAAAGCGUGGGGAGCAAACAGGAUUAGAUACCCUGGUAU